UACGAAGGGUGCAAACGUUGCUCGGAAUUAUUGGGCGUAAAGCGCACGUAGGCGGCUUUGAAAGUCGGAUGUGAAAUCCCUCGGCUCAACCAAGGAAGUGCAUCCGAAACUGCAGAGCUUGAGUACCAAAGAGGAUCGCGGAAUUCCCGGUGUAGAGGUGAAAUUCGUAGAUAUCUGGAGGAAUACCGGUGGCGAAGGCGGCAUCCUGGACCGGCAUUGACGCUGAGGAGCGAAAGCCAGGGGAGCAAACGGG
rnacentral:rRNA from 1 species